CUCAUAAGGUGCUGAAGGAGUAAAGAACCAAUAUAAUUGGUGACUCAUAAUAACUUUAGGGAUCCCUUAAAUUUUACAUUUCCUUUAAAUUUUUUUACUUAUCAGUUUUGGAGGGUAGGGUUAUGGCCUUCCCUUGCCAAUGCGGGGAAAGGGGAAAUAGGGUUUGGUUUCGGGGAGGGAGCCCGGGGAAAGGGUUCCCCCUUUUAAGGAAGGCAGCGGGGGGGAAAAUUACCCAUCCUUAAUCAAGGAGGGUGGGGCAAGAAAAUACAAAUCCAGGCUUUUUGGGUUUUGAAAUUGGAAGGAGUAAAGAAUAAACCCCUUUCCAGUUAUCAAUUGGAGGGCAAUUUGGUGGCCACCACCCCGGGAAUUUCCAGUUCCAAAAGGGUAUUUAAAAGUUUUGCCAUUUAAAAGGUUGUAAUUUGAUUUUUGUUUAUUAUUUUAAUUAAAUUAUUUGAAGGAAAAUUAUUUAAUUUUAACCAAAUUCAUAUUACUAUAUAUUUUAGUAUAUGAAAUUUUACUUUGAGAAAAUUAGAGUGCUUAAAGCAGGCAUAUGCCUUGAAUACUCCAGCAUGGAAUAAUAUUAAAGAUUUUUAUCUUUCUUAUUGGUUCUAAGAUAAGAAUAAUGAUUAAUAGGGACAGUUGGGGGCAUUUGUAUUUAACAGUCAGAGGUGAAAUUCUUAGAUUUGUUAAAGACAAACUAAUGCGAAAGCAUUUGCCAAGGAUGUUUUCAUUAAUCAAGAACGAAAGUUAGGGGAUCGAAGACGAUCAGAUACCGUCGUAGUCUUAACCAUAAACUAUGCCAACUAGAGAUUGGAGGUUCUUUAUCUAAUAAAUACAACCCUUCC
rnacentral:rRNA from 1 species